rnacentral:lncRNA from 1 species
CUCUCGAAAAGAGAAACUCCAUCUUCCUUCUUCAAGAAACAGCCCCUUCACAUCCUUCAAACUCAGCCCCAAAGCCAUCCAAGAACAUCCAAGCCAAACCCGCCGAAAAUCCACCGAGCCUUUGGUUUUCUUACUCCUCCAUCUUCGAUUUCUUGCUCUUGGGUAAGGACCUUGGUCUUUACUGAAAUAAUAACCUAAUUAAUAUAAAUUAUAUGGGUUUUAAUGAAUUAUAUGUUAGUGGUAUUAAUUUUGGGCUUUAGAAGUUAAAGUUCUUGAUGAACACCACUUGAAUUUCAGUUUCGUAGCUUCUGAUUGUAUUGCAUGUCUCAUCGGGUAAUCCC